UACAGAGGGUGCAAGCGUUAAUCGGAAUUACUGGGCGUAAAGCGUGCGUAGACGGUAGCGUAAGUCGGGUGUGAAAGCCCCGGGCUCAACCUGGGAAUUGCAUUCGAGACUGCUCUGCUAGGGUGCGGAAGAGGGAAGCGGAAUUUCCGGUGUAGCGGUGAAAUGCGUAGAGAUCGGGAAGAACAUCAGUGGCGAAGGCGGUCUGCUGGGCCGUUGCUGACGCUGAGGCGCGACAGCGUGGGGGAGCAAACAGG
rnacentral:rRNA from 1 species